GUUUACAACAUUAUAUAUAUUGACUCUUGCAACUUCUUCAUGUACCAGGCUGUAUCGAGAAGACAGCAUUUCUUCCUUCUGUUCAGCUUUAGCCAUGUAACUGUGAUGAGUGGAAACAUUGGUUUUCUCCACUGUUACACCCAUGUGUCAAUGAUGGUGCAAUCCUCCCAAUUGCUUUUGGGAUAUACAUGACACAGUAAGCAUCACAGUAUGAUCAGGUGGAUGCAUACAGACAUCCGGGUAAGUGUGGAUUUCUGCCCAGGCCUCCAAUGAAAUCCUGCCAUGUCCACA
rnacentral:lncRNA from 1 species